rnacentral:misc_RNA from 1 species
AACGCACCUUGCACCCCUUGGUAUUCUGAGGGGUACACCUGUUUGAGUGUUAUGAAAUUCUCCAACAUUCAGUUUUAUUUAAUUGAUUGUAUGGGAUUCUGGAGGUUGUUUGCAGGAUUUAUUUUUCCUGCUCCUCUUAAAUGCAUGAGUAAAGCCUACUGCUAAGACCUAUGGUGUGAUAAUUAUCUACGCCUUUUGGUUCUUUUUUUUAGUAAUGUUUUGCUUAAAAUGGUCUAUUCAUUUAGACAAUUAGUUUUAUGAACUUGACCUCAAAUCAGGUGGGACUACCCGCUGAACUUAA